CGAGAAGUUAUGUUUGAAUCUCUCCGCCAACCAGCGACGUCACGGUGCAGAAUAACGCAGACUAUUUGAAUUUCAGCGCUCGAAUCACAAAUUAAAUAUGGCUUCGAGCUUGUCUCUUGACUUCUUUUAACUGGCCUAGCUGCACGAAACGCAAUAAUCGGCAAAAUGAAAACAACAGCUGUGGUGUUGGCAUUGGCAUUGGCCGGCUUGACAACUAAACUCUGAUUUUGGACUGUGACUGGCCGUUUGAGCCAAAUAUUUGGACUCGCACACCAAAAGGAAAUCGUCUCUUUUGAAGCGGCGAAAGAAGAGUUCGCGUUUGAGUCACACAAUAACAUGCUUGAGGAGGAUAAAAAGUACUACUACAUGCGGAGAAAUUUGAGAAUCUCAUCAAGAAGUUCCGAUUUUCUCAGGCCAAUUAUGGCGGAGUCUGACUCCCUGGCACGCUCUAAUAUCGUCAACACACCUUUUUUCCUGGAUCUCUUGCGUUGUUAUGAUUUACAAUGGCCUGCCAGUCAUUUACAUGCUGCUAGUCUCCCAGUUGAACAGCCAUAAAACAGGAGACAUGGACUGCGGUGCUACUAAAACAGGUGGGGCUCUUCCGGCCUCGUGGUCGUCAAAGUCGAAAGGUGAAGGACCCUGAGUGCUGAUUCCCGCGGCAGAUCGGCCUCUACUUCGCCAUGGGCAGGUCGCUGUUUGCCGAAUGCUUUGCAGCCCCAACAGAUUAGACACGUAUUUUUCAUGUUCGUGAUCAGCGUUGUGUGCAUGCUGCAGCUGUACCACAAACACCAUCCAAGCAUCGCGUUCGUCUUGCUCACUGUCCUCUGCAUCGUAAGCUGGCUCGGCGAGCUGCUUGGCAAUCAUCUCUGGUGGUGGUCGGCCAGGGCUCCACUCCACAUUGCGCCCAUAAAUGAGCUUCACGGACCUUCAUGGCUUUGUUUUUGCUCUUGAAGUUUGGUUUGGACAUCUAUGGCUUAGCUGCAACGCCUCCUUUUGAUCGCAAACCUGGGCCUGAGGCACGCUGCUCUACGUGAUAAUGAAAGCCGUGAAGCGCGAGGGCCUGUCCGUGCUGCCCCUGGCGUGUUUAUUCGUCAGCAUCGGCUUCUGGUGGGUCGGCAUUCACUACUUCAAGCAGUUCAGCACCUCCUGGGAGAGCUCGCCGGCCCUGUCGCGCACCCUCAACAAGCAGUGCGUCCUGCUCGGCUUUUUCGACUACCACGACGUCUGGCACGUCUGCUCCUGCUGCUUGUUCACCACCGACAAAAACCUGGAAUAUGUUCCUCGAUCAAGCAUUCCAUCCUUGUUUUAGACGGUCCAUUUAAAAAAAUUAAACUUUACUUUUUUUAGCAGAAGGCUUAAAUUUUAAUAAUAUUUCAUUAUACAAAAUUUUUGUGAUAAAUAAAUCGAAUUUUAGAUAUUUUAAUAGA